UACAGAGGUCUCAAGCGUUGUUCGGAUUCAUUGGGCGUAAAGGGUGUGUAGGUGGCGCCCGGUAAGUCGGGUGUGAAAUCUCGGGGCUUAACUCCGAAACUGCAUUCGAUACUGCGGUGCUUGAGGACUGGAGAGGAGACUGGAAUUCAUGGUGUAGCAGUGAAAUGCGUAGAGAUCAUGAGGAAGACCAGUGGCGAAGGCGGGUCUCGUGGACAGUUCCUGACACUGAGACACGAAGGCCAGGGGAGCAAACGGG
rnacentral:rRNA from 1 species